rnacentral:tRNA from 1 species
GGUCUUAUAGUCAAAAAAAUGAUUUUAAAUUGCAAAUUUAAAGGUAAAGUAAGUUUUAAGGCUU